UAACUAUUAAGUGAUAACGCAGCCAAACAUUUUGCUGCCGUGAGACACUCAUCUAUUAACAGUUAGUAGGUCUAUGAAUAAAACACGUUUUUCGUUUUUCUUAAAAACGUAAACUCUAUAAGGUUAGGUUUCAGUGUUUCACUUCGGACGUCCAGCGCUCGAGCAUCCCGCUCCGGCCUUUAUUUUCUUUGUCUAAGCUUGGAAGUUGGAACGUGGAAACUCUUGUCUCGUACUCUCUGAAGUCGUGACUUUCGUAGUCAUAACUCAAGUCUCACACUCAUAAAGCCGUAUAUGAUGGAGUGUCGAGUGAUGAACUAUGGUUAUUCUUUUACCCGGAAGAUUCCAUACACACUACAGAAAAUUGUGAAACUCUAAUAAAAACUGAAUUGGAAAUAUUUGAUGAUGGCAUAAUGGAAUAUAAAUGUUUUUUUUUUUUAAUGAAAACAAUUAUAUUAUGCCAUCAUUUACAUUUUGCAUCUACCUACAACAUUCCGAUAUGUCCUGGUUGAAAACAAGUCUUCUAAUUGAAAUAGUAACAUUAAAUCAUCAACUCAUACCAACUCAACAUAAUGUGAUAUCAUAUUGUCUCAAAAAAAACUAAAAACAAUCAAGUUAGGUAAAAAUUAGUUUUUCUAACUGUCGAAAACCAAUACCAACAUGUCAUUUACAAUAAAUCAUUAUUAAAAAUAACAAUUUUAAAUACAGUAAAAAAUAUUCAUAGUGCUAUCCUUCUAAAUUAGAUAUUUGCAAUAAAUCAUUUUCUCAAGCAUCAGCCUUUAAUCACCGCAAUAGUAUUUGUAACAAAUAUAACA